rnacentral:tRNA from 1 species
GCCCGAAUGGCGGAAUCGGUAGACGCGCUCGACUCAAAAUCGGGUACCUAACGGUGUGUGGGUUCGAGUCCCACUUCGGGCA